AUACGGAGGACGCGAGCGUUAUCCGGAUUCAUUGGGUUUAAAGGGUGCGCAGGCGGCCGUGCAAGUCAGCGGUGAAAGCCCGAGGCUCAACCCCGGAAGUGCCGUUGAUACUGCAUGGCUGGAAUGCGGUCGAGGCGGGCGGAACGUGGGGUGUAGCGGUGGAAUGCGUAGAUAUGCCACAGAACGCCGAUAGCGGAGGCAGCUCGCCAGGCCUGCAUUGACGCUCGGGCACGAAAGCGUGGGGAUCGAACAGGAUUAGAUACCCUGGUAGUCCACGCCGUAAACGAUGGGCGCUCGUCGUCGGCGGCAGACAGUCGGCGGCCAAGCGAAAGCGAUAAGCGCCCCACCUGGGGAGUACGGUCGCAAGGCUGAAACUCAAAUGAAUUGACGGGG
rnacentral:rRNA from 1 species